GAUGAACGCUGGCGGCGUGCCUAAUACAUGCAAGUCGAGCGAACAGACGAGGAGCUUGUUCCUCCUACGUUAGCGGCGGACGGGUGAGUAACACGUGGAUAACCUACCUUUGAGACUGGGAUAACUUCUGGAAACCGGAGCUAAUACCGGAUAAUAUAUUUAAACACAUGGUUCAAGAUUGAAAGAUGGUUUUGCUUCCCCUUAUGGUUAUAUCCGCUCCGAAUUGGCAAGUUGGUAAGGUAACGCCCUACAAAGCCAAGGAUGCGUAGCCGACCUGAGAGGGUGAUCGGCCAAACUGGAACUGAGACACGGUCCAGACUCCUACGGGAGGCAGAGGUAGGGAAUCUUCCGCAAUGGGCGAAAGCUUGACGGAGAAACGCCGCGUGGGUGAUGAAGGUCUUCGGUUCGUAAAACUCUUUUAUUAGGGAAGAACAAAUGUGUAAGUAACUAUGCACGUCUUGACGGUACCUAAUCAGAAAGCCACGGCUAACUACGUG
rnacentral:rRNA from 1 species